GCUGGAGUAGCUCAGCCGGACAGAGCGUGUAGCUGUUAACCACAAGGUCGGAGGUUCGAACCUUCCCUCUAGCG
rfam:Selaginella moellendorffii unplaced genomic scaffold SELMOscaffold_7, whole genome shotgun sequence.